AUGGUGGUUUGGAAGAAGCUAAAGAAGAUUAGUGAUUAUGGCAUAAUUCUUUCUAUUGGAGUUCCUUCUCAUAUUUAUGAAAUUUUCACUAUUAAAAAACAUGAUAUUGUGUUUGAUGAAGUUGAAAUUGAUCUUUCUCUUAGUGUGUUGAAGUUUAGUUAUAUGUUGUAUGUCAGGAAACAUGUCCCUGACAAUGUUCCUCACAAUAUUCCAUAUUUUGAUGAGUCUGACCUGGUUGUUGGUGAAGAUGUUCCACUCAUGUAUUAUCCAUCAAUUUAG